GCUUAACACAUGCAAGUCGAACGRUGAAGCCGAGGCUUGCUCUGGUGGAUUAGUGGCGAACGGGUGAGUAACACGUGAGCAACCUGCCCCGGACUCUGGGAUAAGCGCUGGAAACGGCGUCUAAUACUGGAUACGAGACGUGACCGCAUGGUCAACGUUUGGAAAGAUUUUUCGGUCUGGGAUGGGCUCGCGGCCUAUCAGCUUGUUGGUGAGGUAAUGGCUCACCAAGGCGUCGACGGGUAGCCGGCCUGAGAGGGUGACCGGCCACACUGGGACUGAGACACGGCCCAGACUCCUACGGGAGGCAGCAGUGGGGAAUAUUGCACAAUGGGCGGAAGCCUGAUGCAGCAACGCCGCGUGAGGGAUGACGGCCUUCGGGUUGUAAACCUCUUUUAGCAGGGAAGAAGCGAAAGUGACGGUACCUGCAGAAAAAGCGCCGGCUAACUACGUGCCAGCAGCCGCGGUAAUACGUAGGGCGCAAGCGUUAUCCGGAAUUAUUGGGCGUAAAGAGCUCGUAGGCGGUCUGUCGCGUCUGCUGUGAAAUCCCGAGGCUCAACCUCGGGCCUGCAGUGGGUACGGGCAGACUAGAGUGCGGUAGGGGAGAUUGGAAUUCCUGGUGUAGCGGUGGAAUGCGCAGAUAUCAGGAGGAACACCGAUGGCGAAGGCAGAUCUCUGGGCCGUAACUGACGCUGAGGAGCGAAAGGGUGGGGAGCAAACAGGCUUAGAUACCCUGGUAGUCCACCCCGUAAACGUUGGGAACUAGUUGUGGGGUCCUUUCCACGGAUUCCGUGACGCAGCUAACGCAUUAAGUUCCCCGCCUGGGGAGUACGGCCGCAAGGCUAAAACUCAAAGGAAUUGACGGGGACCCGCACAAGCGGCGGAGCAUGCGGAUUAAUUCGAUGCAACGCGAAGAACCUUACCAAGGCUUGACAUACACGAGAACGGKCCAGAAAUGKWCAACUCUUUGGACACUCGUGAACAGGUGGUGCAUGGUUGUCGUCAGCUCGUGUCGUGAGAUGUUGGGUUAAGUCCCGCAACGAGCGCAACCCUCGUUCUAUGUUGCCAGCACGUUAUGGUGGGAACUCAUGGGAUACUGCCGGGGUCAACUCGGAGGAAGGUGGGGAUGACGUCAAAUCAUCAUGCCCCUUAUGUCUUGGGCUUCACGCAUGCUACAAUGGCCGGUACAAAGGGCUGCAAUACCGUGAGGUGGAGCGAAUCCCAAAAAGCCGGUCCCAGUUCGGAUUGAGGUCUGCAACUCGACCU
rnacentral:rRNA from 1 species